AACGAACGCUGGCGGCGUGCUUAACACAUGCAAGUCGAACGCGAAAGGGACUUCGGUCCUGAGUAAAGUGGCGCACGGGUGAGUAACGCGUGGAUAAUCUACCCGAUGAUCUGGGAUAACAUUUCGAAAGGGGUGCUAAUACCGGAUAAGACCACGGGCUCUUCGGAGCUUGCGGUAAAAGGUGGGGACCUUCGGGCCUACCGUUAUCGGAUGAGUCCGCGUACCAUUAGCUAGUUGGUGGGGUAAGAGCCUACCAAGGCGACGAUGGUUAGCUGGUCUGAGAGGAUGAUCAGACACACUGGAACUGAGACACGGUCCAGACUCCUACGGGAGGCAGCAGUGGGGAAUUUUGCGCAAUGGGGGAAACCCUGACGCAGCAACGCCGCGUGAGUGAUGAAGGCCUUCGGGUCGUAAAGCUCUGUCAGAGGGAAAGAAAUGCGGGAGGGUUAAUACCCCUUUUGCUUGACGGUACCCUCAAAGGAAGCACCGGCUAACUCCGUG
rnacentral:rRNA from 1 species